UACACACCGCCCGUCCACACCAUGGGAGUGGGUUGCACCAGAAGUAGCUAGUCUAACCUUCGGGAGGACGGUUACCACGGUGUGAUUCAGUGACGUGGGGUGG
rnacentral:rRNA from 1 species